rnacentral:antisense_RNA from 1 species
AGAGUAAAAGCUGGGGAUAAGCAUCUUUAAAGAUUAACCAAUUUGCACGUUCAUAUGUUAAAAAAAGCUCUUUCCUAGCUUGUUUGCUCAAAAUACUUGAUAACCAUUUCCCUUCCAAGUCACACAUAUUCCAACCG